CGUGCCAGCAGCCGCGGUAAUACGUAGGGCGCAAGCGUUGUCCGGAAUUAUUGGGCGUAAAGAGCUCGUAGGCGGUUUGUCGCGUCUGCUGUGAAAGCCCGGGGCUCAACUCCGGGUCUGCAGUGGGUACGGGCAGACUAGAGUGCAGUAGGGGAGACUGGAAUUCCUGGUGUAGCGGUGAAAUGCGCAGAUAUCAGGAGGAACACCGAUGGCGAAGGCAGGUCUCUGGGCUGUUACUGACGCUGAGGAGCGAAAGCAUGGGGAGCGAACAGGAUUAGAUACCCUGGUAGUCCAUGCCGUAAACGUUGGGCACUAGGUGUGGGGGGCAUUCCACGUUCUCCGCGCCGUAGCUAACGCAUUAAGUGCCCCGCCUGGGGAGUACGGCCGCAAGGCUAAAACUCAAAGGAAUUGACGGGGGCCCGCACAAGCGGCGGAGCAUGCGGAUUAAUUCGAUGCAACGCGAAGAACCUUACCAAGGCUUGACAUCCACCGGACCGCGCCAGAGAUGGUGUUUCCCUUCRGGGUCGGUGGACAGGUGGUGCAUGGUGUCGUCAGCUCGUGUC
rnacentral:rRNA from 1 species